rnacentral:rRNA from 1 species
CAGUCGCCACGGUAAUACGUAGGGGGCAAGCGUUGUCCGGAAUCAUUGGGCGUAAAGAGCGUGUAGGCGGCUCGGUAAGUCCGCUGUGAAAGUCCAGGGCUCAACCCUGGAAUGCCGGUGGAGACUGUCGAGCUAGAGUCCGGAAGAGGCGAGUGGAACUCCUGGUGUAGCGGUGAAAUGCGCAGAUAUCAGGAAGAACACCAAUGGCGAAGGUAGCUCGCUGGGACGGUACUGACGCUGAGACGCGAAAGCGUGGGGAGCAAACAGGAUUAGAUACCCCAGUAGUCCCUGUCUCUUAUAC